UUACUUAUCUGGACGGGGUCGAUGGGUUAUCUACAAGGCUCAUCGCCUAGGUAAGCAACUUCAAUAGCACAUGGGAAUGGCGCUUGUCUAAGGUCUCCUUAAAGUAGGAGAGCCUACGUCAUAAUUUGUGGUAGUCGGGUCCUGCGUCCGCGCUUCCCCUGU
rfam:Gossypium hirsutum cultivar TM-1 unplaced genomic scaffold scaffold190.1, whole genome shotgun sequence